AGUGCCAACUUGGGAGACAUAUUAUCAUGACUGAAUUGGAGAGUUGACAGCAUCCCCAAAGAGAUGAAGUUUGGUGAUCUUGUUAAAAGGACCAAAGAUCAGUCUCUGAAUGAAUUCUGAUUCUACUUCUAUUUCAAAUUUCAAGUGGUCAUUUCUAUCAAAUACUCCAGGGGACAGACCUCUCUUGCCAUAGAUUGGAAGUUCUGGAGCAGGCGUUUUUCCUUACUGAAAACCCCAAAUUAAAGUUGGAUUUCAUUGGGGUCUAGUCAAUCCAAGAACCAAGGAAACAUAACAUUUCCUUGAAGCCUUCCCUGACCGUUGCAGGAUGGGAGAGCAAGGGGGUGAAAAAGAAAGGAGGACAUGAG